rnacentral:misc_RNA from 1 species
AGUUUACGAUCGUAAAUGAUGGCGGCUCACAUUGUGGAGAUCUAUGAAGAAACGUUUAUUGUUAAUCGCCGACUAUAAUGUUAUUUUAGCUAAACAUAAUUACCUUUUGCAAUUGUUCAUUUGAUGAACACACAAUUUUGUGUUUAAUGCAUCAAGGGCUUUAGAAUAUAGCGGUGAACAGGGAAAUCACGUAUUAUUGUUGAAGAUUGUUGAAAUUCUUUAAGAUGGCCAAUAUUAAAACGGACUACCAGCCAAUGGACAAGAUAUUUGCGAAGAUGAAAGGGUACCCUCAUUGGCCAGCUAGAAUUGAUAAACUACCUCCUGGAGGGCAGAAAGCACCAAAGGGGAAAUUUCCCAUUUUUUCUAUGGAACACAUGAAACGGCAUUUCUUGCUCCAAAGGAUAUUUAUCCUUACGAGAAGUUCAAAGAGAAGUACGCCAAGCCACAAAAACGACUGGGAUUUAAUGAAGGACUAUGGGAGAUUGAGAACAACCCAACAGUGGUGUUUAUGGGAAAUCAGCAAGCAAGUGAAUCUCAAGAGGCAGAAGAAGAGGAAGAAGAAGAAGGGGAGAUGGUGAUUGAGGAGGAGGAGGAAGAGAAACCAGCCAAAGGGAAAAAGAAGCAGACAAAACCUAAAGCAGCACAGAAAAGAAAGAAGACGACAACAGAGGGGAAGCCAGCCAAAAGAGCAAGAAAGGACAAGGAUGCUGUAGAAAAUGAAGAGGAUGAUUUUUUUGAUGAGGAGGAAGAGGAACCAGAUCUGUCUUCAGAUAACCCUGAGGACGAGGACUUUGAGUUGAUGGAAACCUCCAAAUCAAAAAAGAAAACUCCAAAGAGGAAAGGAAGAAAGAGCGGUGGUAAAAAGGCAGCAGAAUCUGGAGAGAGUGGGGAAGACAACAACAAGGUGUCUGAUGACAAUGAGGAGGGAGAGGUCACGGUCAAAAAGAAGCCAAAGAAAACCCCAGUCAAACGGAAAUCCACAGCAAAGGUCAAUAAAGGGAGAGAAUCCACAGGAGGUCGGAAGAAAGCUGACAGCAGAGUUGUUUCCAGCGACAGUGAACUCAGUAGUGACAGUAAUUCAGAUGAGGAGGUCAGCAGUUGGAAGAAAAAAGACGAGGAAAGAAAAAAGGAAAUGGAGAAAAAGAUAAAGGAGGCCGAGGAAAGAAAGAAAAAAGAGGAGUCAGAAAGAAUCAAGGCCAUCCGAGCGGAGCAGAGACUGGCUGCUGAGAAAGAGGAGGAUGAUGAGGAUGAAGAAGAGGACGAAGAAGACUCAAAACCUAGAAAGAAAAAAUCCAAGAAACCGAAGGAGGAGACAACAGAUGAUGAGCACCAAUCUAGAACACCAAAGCUUUCAAAGCAUGUCAAGAAGAAAUCAGAAAAGUCGAAAAGACAGAGAGGGGAGAGAAAGACAGAAGCAGAAGAGGAAGAGAAAGUAGAAGAGGAGGAGGAGGAGGCAGACAAGGAUACAAACAAGGACACAGGAGAUGUUCAAGAGGAGACAACCCCGCAGGAGGAAGGUGCCACCAAGAAUGAGGAAGACUCCAACAAACCAGACAGAGAGCAGGAGGCGACAGAGGCAGAGGACAGGCAGGAGAGUGGAGGAGACAACCAGGAACAGGAGGCGGAGGAGAAGGUGAAAGAGGAAAGUCCAAAAAAGAAAGAGAAAUCAAAAGAAGACUUGGAGAAAGAAGAAAAGGCAAAGCAGGCGAGGGAAGAAGCCAGGCGGGCUCGUGAAGAGGAGAGGAGACGUAAACAGGAGAGGGAGAGAGAGAGGGAGCGUAAAAUCAAAGAGCGAGAAGAAGAAAAGGAGAGAAAAAAGAAAGAAAAGUAUGAACAGAAGAAAAAAGAUAAAAUUAAUUUCAUUCAGACAGAGGGAAAAUUAAGUGCCAUGGAUAAAGAGAUCAAACUGUGUGUCCAGAGAGACUCUACUGAUGUUGACAAAUGCCUGGCCAUCAUGGAGGAUCUGGACGCGCUGCCAGUAAACCAAGUGAUGCUGAAGAAAAAUCCUGACAUCAUGAAAACCAUCAAAAUGCUGAGGAAGUACAAGGGCAGUGAGAAGAUCCGACUAAAGGCUGAGGUCAUUUACCACAAGUUCAAGGGGUUCUUCCUGGCGGGAGACGGGGAACUCAAUAGCUCAAUUAUGGAACACCAUCAUCAUAAGAAACAGAACAACAAAGAUACCAAAGAAAGGGAAAACAAAGAAAACGAAAUUUCUAGAGCAUCAGAGGUGACGGCCAACAGUAAUGACACGACCAGUGAGACAGAGGACCGGCUGGCCGGGGAGGGGGAGGGAACUCCUGCACUGGAUCGCGUUUCUGACAACACACUGGACGCCUCCGCCAGCGACUCCGAACUGACCAAGCGUAUAGAACAAUUGACUGGCGAGGUUGUGGCCAAACUCGAGUCGUGGCCCUCAGACAGUAGUGAUAAAGAAGACGGUUUUAAAAGUUUAAAAAGCUGGCCAGAGUUACCUCUCCUGCCUGGCCUUACAUUUGAAUCUGAGUCUCAGAAAAACUCUGAACCACCCAGUGGUAAAACUUGUGAAAUAGCAGCUACAGAUAGUGAUGUUCAAAUUAGUGACUCAAAACCAAGUGAAAAUUCAGAGAGUGGUCAACCAGACAUUGAGAAUAAGAAGGAAGUGGUGCCAUCUCCAAAGGAGAAAGCUGACACUGUGCCAAGUCAGUCCUCCCCACCACCAGCGGCGACAACUGCGACCACCACAGACACCACUAACACCACAAACACAAGUAACAACACAGACACGAGUAACGCCGCCAACGCAAGUAAUGCAUACAGGAGGACCUCAAACAUUCUUAGUUUACCAUUACCCAUCAUUGAUGAUGACUCCCAGGAUGCUGGGACAGACGAUGAUGCAAUGGACAUUUCACCCGCCGUGUCUCCUACUAAAACAAACGGUGACAAAGAGACCAAAGUGAAUGUGAAUCAGUCGCCAGAGAAUGAAGAAAUAGAGGAAGCCAUUGAUGAGCAGGAGCGGAUUGACCUAGAUGCCCGAAUCCAGGCCAUAAUGGCUAGCAACACUCUCACUAACCUAGAGACAGAAGACAGCAAUGGACCAGUGUCACCAACAGAUGACAAACCCGAGAAACAAGAAGAGGAAGUUAUCAAACCUGUACAAGUUGAGGUUCCGGUGAAAAAACCAGAGGUUCCAGUAAAGAAACCAGAUAAGAAAGAGGUGGAAUCUGACUCGGAACCAAUCAUGGACGAUGACGAGCUUCACAGUCUGCUGGGCAUAUAGUGCGACAUCUCCCAAGAUCUCAAGACCAAAACCAUAUAGCUUGGAUGCUGGCGAUUAUUUCAGUUAUACAAGAAGUUAUGGGAAUCAAGGCAUUGAAAAGCAUGGGUCACUUAGAUCAGAAAAAUGAAUGAGAUGUGUGUACAAUCGUGUGAGCAGUGUGAGCUGUGUGAUUGUGUGAUACUGGUGCAGACAGACAGCAGACAGCACCGAGGUCUGGUGAUGCACACACAGACUCUAACUAUACUGACCUCCUCAGAUUGAAGAGCAGAGUCUUUCUCAGUCAGGGUGAGCUGAGUUUAGUACAUUGACAUGUAAGGUAGUUAAUUGUUACAAAUCACGUGUCACUCAUUGGGACUGUAAACUUGUCAUUAUUUAUCAAAAUAUUUUAACAGAGGUUAAGAUGUUAAGACAGUGGUUUUGUUUGUCAUAUAUGAGUACAUAACCCAAUAGAUGAGUGUGUCCAUUGGAAAUGUUGUAUUCUUGUCUAUAACUGUUUAGGUCUUAAUUAAAGACUGAUAUCUGUGAGAAUGCUUGUGUGAGUGUGUGAUGUGUUAGACAUGAAUCAGCCAUUUCAUUACCGUCAUUUAUCAUAACUUACAGAUAUCAUAUCACAUUUUGUAUUUUAAAAAAAUACAUUACUGUUUCACUCUAUGUAUGAUCAUGCAUUGAUUGAAAAGUCUUUUAAAGAUGAGAAAACUGCAAUAAAAACCAACAAGGUUU